rnacentral:misc_RNA from 1 species
GAAAUGCGAUAAGUAAUGUGAAUUGCAGAAUUCAGUGAAUCAUCGAAUCUUUGAACGCACCUUGCGCUCCUUGGUAUUCCUUGGAGCAUGCCUGUUUGAGUAUCAUGAAAUCUUCAAAGUAAAUCUUUUGUUAACUCAAUUGGUUUCUACUUUGGUAUUGGAGGUCUUUGCAGCUUCACACCUGCUCCUCUUUGUUCAUUAGCUGGAUCUCAGUGUUAUGCUUGGUUCCACUCGGCGUGAUAAGUUAUCUAUCGCUGAGGACACUGUAAAAGGUGGCCAAGGUAAAUGCAGAUGAACCGCUUCUAAUAGUCCAUUGAAUUGGACAAUACUUUUAUGAUCUGAUCUCGAAUCAGGUAGGACUACCCGCUGAACUUAAGC